rnacentral:lncRNA from 1 species
GUUUUCGUCUGUGACGAGAUUCUGUAAGAAAGUGAGGCAGAUUUGGUAAGACUCGUUUUCCAGACGAAGUAGUGGAGGAUCUUGCAUUUGUGUCAUGGGUCCUAGCUCUUGUAGUCUUGAACGCAGUAUCGAGUUGCUGUUUACGCUGUGAGCGUGUAACGCUACACCGUGUAAUGCGUCGAAGAGAACUAAUGUGUUUUUCGCUGAGAGCUGAGGUCUGUACAUGUUGUAAAUCUCCAUCACAGCCUGAAAAAAAAGAAACAUUAUAAACAACACAAACAUUACAACUGUAACAUGCCGAAAAGGUAUGAACAGAAACUGACCUGAAUCAACAAAAGCUGAACAGCGGCACGGCACUUAGCAUCAGAGAUAGCGGCGUAAAGACGGACCGGUGUUGACUGACUCUCUUCAUUACCAUCCGAGCCAAGAGGAGCAACAGACUCAGCAUUUCUCUGGCUUCUCUCCACAUACUCUUCGCUGAGGAAAUAAGAAAAGUCUGGGCAAGUCGUCUUCGCCGAUUCC